UUUACUUCUUGGUCUUUUUCAUUAAGAUCAAGUAUAGUACUUAUUAGUUUAACAUCUGAUGAAGACCUCUAUCUGAGGACAACCCAUUCAAUGGGUUUUUGGAGCAGGAAGAGAAAUGGAGUUUACCUGUUCACACUGUGCCUAGAUCCACUACUAAAGUACUUCUGGGAACAGUGCACCCCCU